UGCUGCUUCGCUGACGAGUGGCGGACGGGUGAGUAAUGUCUGGGAAACUGCCUGAUGGAGGGGGAUAACUACUGGAAACGGUGGCUAAUACCGCAUAACGUCGCAAGACCAAAGAGGGGGACCUUCGGGCCUCUUGCCAUCAGAUGUGCCCAGAUGGGAUUAGCUUGUUGGUGAGGUAACGGCUCACCAAGGCGACGAUCCCUAGCUGGUCUGAGAGGAUGACCAGCCACACUGGAACUGAGACACGGUCCAGACUCCUACGGGAGGCAGCAGUGGGGAAUAUUGCACAAUGGGCGCAAGCCUGAUGCAGCCAUGCCGCGUGUAUGAAGAAGGCCUUCGGGUUGUAAAGUACUUUCAGCGGGGAGGAAGGUGUUGUGGUUAAUAACCGCAGCAAUUGACGUUACCCGCAGAAGAAGCACCGGCUAACUCCGUGCCAGCAGCCGCGGUAAUACGGAGGGUGCAAGCGUUAAUCGGAAUUACUGGGCGUAAAGCGCACGCAGGCGGUCUGUCAAGUCGGAUGUGAAAUCCCCGGGCUCAACCUGGGAACUGCA
rnacentral:rRNA from 1 species